rnacentral:rRNA from 1 species
UACGUAGGGUGCAAGCGUUUAAUCGGAAUUACUGGGCGUAAAGUGUGCGCAGGCGGCGCUGCAAGUCGAGUGUGAAAUCCCCGAGCUUAACUUGGGAAUUGCGCUCGAAACUACGGCGCUGGAGUAUGGCAGAGGAAGGUGGAAUUCCACGUGUAGCGGUGAAAUGCGUAGAUAUCUGGAGGAACACCGGUGGCGAAGGCGGCAUCCUGGACCGGCAUUGACGCUGAGGAGCGAAAGCCAGGGGAGCAAAGCGGGG